rnacentral:rRNA from 1 species
AUUGAACGCUGGCGGCAGGCCUAACACAUGCAAGUCGAACGAGUGGCGGACGGGUGUGUAAUGUCUGGGACCCUGCCUGCUGGAGGGGGAUAACUACUGGAAACGGUAGCUAAUACCGCAUACCAUCAGAUGUGCCCAUGUGGGAUUAGCUUGUUGGUGGGGUAGUGGCUCACCAAGGCGACGAUCCCUAGCUGGUCUGAGAGGAUGACCAGCCGACCUGGAACUGUGAGACGGUCCAGACGCCUACGGGACGCAGCGGGGGAGAAGAUGGCACAAUGGGCGCAAGCCUGAUGCAGCCAUGCCGCGGGUAUGAAGAAGGCCUUCGGGUUGUAAAGUACUUUCAGCGGGGAGGCGUUACCCGCAGAAGAAGCACCGGCUAACUCCGUGCCAGCAGCCGCGGUAAUUC